rnacentral:rRNA from 3 species
AAAUUGAAGAGUUUGAUCAUGGCUCAGAUUGAACGCUGGCGGCAGGCCUAACACAUGCAAGUCGAACGGUAACAGGAAGCAGCUUGCUGCUUUGCUGACGAGUGGCGGACGGGUGAGUAAUGUCUGGGAAACUGCCUGAUGGAGGGGGAUAACUACUGGAAACGGUGGCUAAUACCGCAUAACGUCGCAAGACCAAAGAGGGGGACCUUCGGGCCUCUUGCCAUCAGAUGUGCCCAGAUGGGAUUAGCUUGUUGGUGAGGUAACGGCUCACCAAGGCGACGAUCCCUAGCUGGUCUGAGAGGAUGACCAGCCACACUGGAACUGAGACACGGUCCAGACUCCUACGGGAGGCAGCAGUGGGGAAUAUUGCACAAUGGGCGCAAGCCUGAUGCAGCCAUGCCGCGUGUAUGAAGAAGGCCUUCGGGUUGUAAAGUACUUUCAGCGGGGAGGAAGGUGUUGUGGU